GUACCAGCUGAACGCACGACAGGGCGACGCACCACGCGCGUGGGUGUAGCUGUUGGCGCACCAGCUGAGCGCACAUGAUGAAGAAGGCGCACCAGCUGAACGAGCGAGUAGUAGUAGGCGGCGUGCAAGUAGGUUUGUUCAGUCGGCGAACAAGUAGGUAAAGUAAGAGCGAGGGUUUCUUGAUGGUGCGGGGCCUGCCUUGGCCCCGCACGGACCCUUCAUAUAUUGUUACUCUUUUGGGAGCUGACUAUAGACUGAUCUAAGAUGCCCGGUGACCUGCUUAAAUACUAAUGCUUAGGAAUAACGAAUACAAAAUUUGAAAUUUAAAGAUAGUUACACAUCAGUUAUUCAUUUAUUAUAGGUAUCGUUAAAUUUAAAGCGCCCUAUUCCGAAAGUAUACAGACUAACUUCUAUGGUAGCAAAAUUACAAAUCUGAAGGUAACUUGACGGAUUACGUCAGUCACGUAAACAGUUAUGUCAAACAAUUAGAAAUGUGGAAAUUAAGAUCGAUUCAGCUACAAAACUAACAAAUAUUUAUAUAAAAUAAAAGGAAAAACAAUGAGAUGCAGAUCAAGGAUAAAAGUAAGCUAACUAGACCCAGAAAACGCAAUUUAGAAGGUUCGAAUACUCGAAGUCACAACAGUAAAUGUUCAAUAAGGAGUUUUACAAGUGUUUCCGAGGAUUAUUCCAAGAUUCGGGGUUGACGUGCUUAGAGCGUCGUGGUCAACUGCUGACAUCAGGCGCAGAUGUUGCUUGCCGUACGAUCAUCUACAUAUAUUUUAAGUAAGACAUGAUUGAAAUAAAAUAUUUAAGUAUAUUAAUUGUUGAUAAGGUCAUGGUUGUCUUUUAAAAGUACGAGAUUACGAAGUAAAGAAGGUAAAUUGGU